AUUCCCGGGCUCAGAUUGAACGCUGGCGGCAGGCCUAACACAUGCAAGUCGAGCGGUAACAUUUCUAGCUUGCUAGAAGAUGACGAGCGGCGGACGGGUGAGUAAUGCUUGGGAAUAUGCCUUAGGGUGGGGGACAACAGUUGGAAACGACUGCUAAUACCGCAUAACGUCUACGGACCAAAGGGGGCUUCGGCUCUCGCCCUUAGAUUAGCCCAAGUGGGAUUAGCUAGUUGGUGAGGUAAUGGCUCACCAAGGCGACGAUCCCUAGCUGGUUUGAGAGGAUGAUCAGCCACACUGGAACUGAGACACGGUCCAGACUCCUACGGGAGGCAGCAGUGGGGAAUAUUGCACAAUGGGCGCAAGCCUGAUGCAGCCAUGCCGCGUGUGUGAAGAAGGCCUUAGGGUUGUAAAGCACUUUCAGUAAGGAGGAAAGGUUAGUAGUUAAUACCUGCUAGCUGUGACGUUACUUACAGAAGAAGCACCGGCUAACUCCGUGCCAGCAGCCGCGGUAAUACGGAGGGUGCGAGCGUUAAUCGGAAUUACUGGGCGUAAAGCGUACGCAGGCGGUUUGUUAAGCGAGAUGUGAAAGCCCCGGGCUCAACCUGGGAACUGCAUUUCGAACUGGCAAACUAGAGUAUGAUAGAGGGUGGUAGAAUUUCAGGUGUAGCGGUGAAAUGCGUAGAGAUCUGAAGGAAUACCGAUGGCGAAGGCAGCCACCUGGGUCAAUACUGACGCUCAUGUACGAAAGCGUGGGGAGCAAACGGGAUUAGAUACCCCGGUAGUCCACGCCGUAAACGAUGUCUCACCUACCUGAACAUGCACCCAGAGGGACAAUUCUGCAGCCGAUGCAGAGCCAUGUGCGGAUGCUGCUGCUACGACAAGAGCAGCACACACCCCACCCCUGAGCACCC
rnacentral:rRNA from 1 species